AACCGUUACAAGCCGCUAACACCAGUCUGCUUCAGCAGCUUGGUUGAAAUGGAGAUUGGAUGAUGCACUGUGCCCAACUAAUCAUACACGUGAUGCCUUGAGAGGUCGGGGUCAGAUUGUACAUUCACCUGCGUUUCAUACUCCAGGCCAGCAGGUGGCGGUAAUGCACCAAAUAUAUGGAUGCAAACUGCUGUUUAGAGAAGAAGAAGAAGAAGAAGAACGCGCUGCGGGCCUGGUCUGCAGUCUGCUCCGUCUGAGACGACACUAUGGAGAUGUUUGGACUGCAGUAUAAUGAGCAUGGUUGCCCCCAGUUCCUGUGGACUGGGACCAGCACAGGACCAAGACUGCCCGACCUCCUCCAGAGCAGUGCAUCCACUGCACAGUCAUCGUAAUGGACGUGGCACUAAGGAGGAUUGUCCAGCCGCAGAUGACGCUGAAGAACCGUUACAAGCCGCUAACACCAGUCUGCUUCAGCAGCUUGGUUGAAAUGGAGAUUGGAUGAUGCACUGUGCCCAACUAAUCAUACACGUGAUGCCUUGAGAGGUCGGGGUCAGAUUGUGAGUACUCCUCCGUUUU